CGAAGUCGUGGCGGUGGCGGAUCGAGGAGGCGAUAACGCGGCCUCAGGCUCUGGUGUCUCCCAGUCUGCUAAAGCCCCGAGGCUGUCACCAUGGACUUCCAGCAUCGCCCUGGGGGCAAGACCGGGAGCGGGGGCGUGGCCUCCUCCUCUGAGAGCAACCGUGACCGCAGGGAGCGCCUCCGGCAGCUGGCCCUAGAGACCAUCGACAUCAACAAGGACCCGUACUUCAUGAAGAACCACCUGGGCUCCUAUGAAUGCAAGCUCUGCCUGACGCUUCACAACAAUGAGGGGAGCUACCUGGCACAUACCCAGGGGAAGAAGCACCAGACCAACCUGGCCCGGCGAGCCGCCAAGGAGGCCAAGGAGGCCCCUGCCCAGCCCGCACCUGAGAAGGUCAAGGUGGAGGUGAAGAAGUUUGUGAAGAUCGGCCGCCCAGGCUACAAAGUGACCAAGCAGAGGGACUCGGAGAUGGGCCAGCAGAGCCUCCUCUUCCAGAUCGACUACCCUGAGAUCGCCGAGGGCAUCAUGCCACGCCACCGCUUCAUGUCUGCGUACGAGCAGAGGAUU